rnacentral:rRNA from 1 species
UGAGUGUAAGUGCACAAGGGAGCUUGACUGUGAGACCGACGGGUCGAGCAGGGACGAAAGUCGGGACUAGUGAUCCGGCGGUGGCUUGUGGAAGCGCCGUCGCUCAACGGAUAAAAGGUACCCCGGGGAUAACAGGCUGAUCUUCCCCAAGAGUCCAUAUCGACGGGAUGGUUUGGCACCUCGAUGUCGGCUCGUCGCAUCCUGGGGCUGGAGUCGGUCCCAAGGGUUGGGCUGUUCGCCCAUUAAAGCGGUACGCGAGCUGGGUUUAGAACGUCGUGAGACAGUUCGGUCCCUAUCCGCUGUGCGCGUAGGAAUAUUGAGAAGGGCUGUCCCUAGUACGAGAGGACCGGGACGGACGAACCUCUGGUGUGCCAGUUGUUCUGCCAAGGGCAUGGCUGGUUGGCUACGUUCGGGAGGGAUAACCGCUGAAAGCAUCUAAGCGGGAAGCCUGCUUCGAGAUGAGUGUUCCCACCUCCUUGAGAGGGUAAGGCUCCCAGUAGACGACUGGGUUGAUAGGCCGGAUAUGGAAGCCCUGUAAGGGGUGGAGUUGACCGGUACUAAUAGGCCGAGGGCUUGUCCUCAGUUG